rnacentral:rRNA from 1 species
AGCUCGUGUCGUGAGAUGUUGGGUUAAGUCCGUACGAGCGCAACCCUGUCCUUAGUUACCAGCACGUUAUGGUGGGCGACUCUAAGGAGACUGCCGGUGACAAACCGGAGGAAGGUGGGGAUGACGUCAAGUCAUCAUGGCCCUUACGGCCUGGGCUACACACGUGCUACAAUGGUCGGUACAAAGGGUUGCCAAGCCGCGAGGUGGAGCUAAUCCCAUAAAACCGAUCGUAGUCCGGAUCGCAGUCUGCAACUCGACUGCGUGAAGUCGGAAUCGCUAGUAAUCGUGAAUCAGAAUGUCACGGUGAAUACGUUCCCGGGCCUU